UAUUAAUCUCCUAUUUCAUUAAAGGUAAUGACAUUGAUGGCAAAUCUGAAAAAACUCCUGAUGCAAUAACAAAGCUGACGAGUGUGACCCUGGGCGGUCUGACUGUUUUCCUUCUGAUGCUCAUCAUUGGUCUGGUUGUUAAAAUCAGGAAACUUCAGACAGCACAAUAUCAAGAGCACAGUCCACAAACGCAGGAUCUAGACUCAGAUGACCUGAACUACGCAGCGCUCAGAUUCCUUCCAGAUCCAAACCUCAGGCCUGCAUCAGAGAGAGCUGG